rnacentral:rRNA from 1 species
GAUUAGAUACCCUGGUAGUCCACGCCCUAAACGAUGUCGACUAGGUGUUCGGUGAGGAGACUCAUUGAGUACCGCAGCUAACGCGUGAAGUCGACCGCCUGGGGAGUACGGUCGCAAGAUUAAAACUCAAAGGAAUUGACGGGGACCCGCACAAGCGGUGGAUGAUGUGGAUUAAUUCGAUGCAACGCGAAAAACCUUACCUACCCUUGACAUGUACGGAACCCUGCUGAGAGGUGGGGGUGCUCGAAAGAGAGCCGUAACACAGGUGCUGCGUGGCUGUCGUCAGCUCGUGUCGUGAGAUGUUGGGUUAAGUCCCGCAACGAGCGCAACCCUUGUCAUUAGUUGCUACGCAAGAGCACUCUAAUGAGACUGCCGGUGACAAACCGGAGGAAGGUGGGGAUGACGUCAAGUCCUCAUGGCCCUUAUGGGUAGGGCUUCACACGUCAUACAAUGGUCGGUACAGAGGGUUGCCAAGCCGCGAGGUGGAGCCAAUCCCAGAAAGCCGAUCGUAGUCCGGAUCGCAGUCUGCAACUCGACUGCGUGAAGUCGGAAUCGCUAGUAAUCGCGGAUCAGCAUGCCGCGGUGAAUACGUUCCCGGGUCUUGUACACACCGCCCGUCACACCAUGGGAGUGGGUUUCACCAGAAGAGGCUAGCCUAACCGUAAGGGGGGCGGUCGCCACGGUGAGAUUCAUGACUGGGGUGAAGUCGUAACAAGG